rnacentral:rRNA from 1 species
AUUGAACGCUGGCGACAGGCCUAACACAUGCCAGUCGAACGGUAACAGGAAGCAGCUUGCUGCUUUGCUGACGAGUGGCGGACGGGUGAGUAAUGUCUGGGAAACUGCCUGAUGGAGGGGGAUAACUACUGGAAACGGUAGCUAAUACCGCAUAACGUCGCAAGACCAAAGAGGGGGACCUUCGGGCCUCUUGCCAUCGGAUGUGCCCAGAUGGGAUUAGCUUGUUGGUGGGGUAACGGCUCACCAAGGCGACGAUCCCUAGCUGGUCUGAGAGGAUGACCAGCCACACUGGAACUGAGACACGGUCCAGACUCCUACGGGAGGCAGCAGUGGGGAAUAUUGCACAAUGGGCGCAAGCCUGAUGCAGCCAUGCCGCGUGUAUGAAGAAGGCCUUCGGGUUGUAAAGUACUUUCAGCGGGGAGGAAGGGAGUAAAGUUAAUACCUUUACUCAUUGACGUUACCCGCAGAAGAAGCACCGGCUAACUCCGUG